ACGAAAAAUGAAUACCAAGUCUCAAGAGUGAACACGUAAUUCAUUACGAAGUUUAAUUCAUUGAGCAUCAAACUUUUAAAUUGAAGAGUUUGAUCAUGGCUCAGAUUGAACGCUGGCGGCAGGCCUAACACAUGCAAGUCGAACGGUAACAGGAAGCAGCUUGCUGCUUUGCUGACGAGUGGCGGACGGGUGAGUAAUGUCUGGGAAACUGCCUGAUGGAGGGGGAUAACUACUGGAAACGGUGGCUAAUACCGCAUAACGUCGCAAGACCAAAGAGGGGGACCUUCGGGCCUCUUGCCAUCAGAUGUGCCCAGAUGGGAUUAGCUUGUUGGUGAGGUAACGGCUCACCAAGGCGACGAUCCCUAGCUGGUCUGAGAGGAUGACCAGCCACACUGGAACUGAGACACGGUCCAGACUCCUACGGGAGGCAGCAGUGGGGAAUAUUGCACAAUGGGCGCAAGCCUGAUGCAGCCAUGCCGCGUGUAUGAAGAAGGCCUUCGGGUUGUAAAGUACUUUCAGCGGGGAGGAAGGUGUUGUGGUUAAUAACCGCAGCAAUUGACGUUACCCGCAGAAGAAGCACCGGCUAACUCCGUGCCAGCAGCCGCGGUAAUACGGAGGGUGCAAGCGUUAAUCGGAAUUACUGGGCGUAAAGCGCACGCAGGCGGUCUGUCAAGUCGGAUGUGAAAUCCCCGGGCUCAACCUGGGAACUGCAUUCGAAACUGGCAGNNNNNNNNNNNNNNNNNNNNGUAGCGGUGAAAUGCGUAGAGAUCUGGAGGAAUACCGGUGGCGAAGGCGGCCCCCUGGACAAAGACUGACGCUCAGGUGCGAAAGCGUGGGGAGCAAACAGGAUUAGAUACCCUGGUAGUCCACGCCGUAAACGAUGUCUACUUGGAGGUUGUGCCCUUGAGGCGUGGCUUCCGGAGCUAACGCGUUAAGUAGACCGCCUGGGGAGUACGGCCGCAAGGUUAAAACUCAAAUGAAUUGACGGGGGCCCGCACAAGCGGUGGAGCAUGUGGUUUAAUUCGAUGCAACGCGAAGAACCUUACCUGGUCUUGACAUCCACGGAAGUUUUCAGAGAUGAGAAUGUGCCUUCGGGAACCGUGAGACAGGUGCUGCAUGGCUGUCGUCAGCUCGUGUUGUGAAAUGUUGGGUUAAGUCCCGCAACGAGCGCAACCCUUAUCCUUUGUUGCCAGCGGUCCGGCCGGGAACUCAAAGGAGACUGCCAGUGAUAAACUGGAGGAAGGUGGGGAUGACGUCAAGUCAUCAUGGCCCUUACGACCAGGGCUACACACGUGCUACAAUGGCGCAUACAAAGAGAAGCGACCUCGCGAGAGCAAGCGGACCUCAUAAAGUGCGUCGUAGUCCGGAUUGGAGUCUGCAACUCGACUCCAUGAAGUCGGAAUCGCUAGUAAUCGUGGAUCAGAAUGCCACGGUGAAUACGUUCCCGGGCCUUGUACACACCGCCCGUCACACCAUGGGAGUGGGUUGCAAAAGAAGUAGGUAGCUUAACCUUCGGGAGGGCGCUUACCACUUUGUGAUUCAUGACUGGGGUGAAGUCGUAACAAGGUAACCGUAGGGGAACCUGCGGUUGGAUCACCUCCUUACCUUAAAGAAGCGUACUUUGCAGUGCUCACACAGAUUGUCUGAUGAAAA
rnacentral:rRNA from 1 species